rnacentral:rRNA from 1 species
UACAUGGGGUGCAAACGUUGCUCGGAAUUAUUGGGCGUAAAGCGCACGUAGGCGGUUCGUUAAGUCGGAUGUGAAAGCCCCCGGCUCAACCGGGGAGGGUGGCUGGAAACUGGCGUUCUUGAGGGCGAGAGAGGAGGGUGGAAUUCCUGGUGUAGCGGUGAAAUGCGUAGAGAUCAGGAGGAACACCAAUAGCGAAGGCAGCUCGCUGGGACGGUACUGACGCUAAGGCGCGAAAGCGUGGGGAGCGAACAGG